rnacentral:rRNA from 1 species
UACGGAGGGGGCUAGCGUUGUUCGGAAUUACUGGGCGUAAAGCGCACGUAGGCGGCUUUGCAAGUUAGAGGUGAAAGCCCGGGGCUCAACUCCGGAAUUGCCUUUAAAACUGCAUCGCUAGAAUUGUGGAGAGGUAAGUGGAAUUCCGAGUGUAGAGGCGAAAUUCGUAGAUAUUAGGAGGAAUACCGGUGGCGAAGGCGGCCUUCUGGACCGAUCUUGACGCUGAGACGCGAAAGCGUGGGGAGCGAACAGG